UACGUAGGGUGCGAGCGUUGUCCGGAAUUACUGGGCGUAAAGAGCUCGUAGGUGGUUUGUCGCGUUGUUCGUGAAAACCGGGGGCUUAACCCUCGGCGUGCGGGCGAUACGGGCAGACUUGAGUACUGCAGGGGAGACUGGAAUUCCUGGUGUAGCGGUGGAAUGCGCAGAUAUCAGGAGGAACACCGGUGGCGAAGGCGGUUCUCUGGGAAUAUCCUGACGCUGAGAGGCGAAAGCGUGGGGAGCGAACGGG
rnacentral:rRNA from 1 species